rnacentral:rRNA from 1 species
CUACGAGUGGCACCAGUGGGGAAUUUUGCGCAAUGGGGGAAACCCUGACGCAGCAAUACCGCGUGAGUGAAGAAGGCCUUUGGGUCGUAAAGCUCUUUUCUUGGGGAAGAUAGUGACGGUACCCAAGGAAUAAGCACCGGCUAACUCCGUGCCAGCAGCCGCGGUAAUACGGAGGGUGCAAGCGUUGUUCGGAUUUACUGGGCGUAAAGGGCACGUAGGCGGCACAGCAAGUUAAGGGUGAAAUCCCGGGGCUCAACUCCGGAACUGCUCUUAAAACUGCUGAGCUAGAGAUAGUCAGAGGCGGGUGGAAUUCCAGGUGUAGAGGUGAAAUUCGUAGAUAUCUGGAGGAACACCGGUGGCGAAGGCGGCCCGCUGGGGCUAUUCUGACGCUAAGGUGCGAAAGCGUGGGGAGCAAACGGGAUUAGAUACCCGGGUAGUC